AACAACUUUUGGCAACGGAUCUCUUGGUUCUCCCAUCGAUGAAAAACGCAGCGAAUUGCGAUAAGUAAUGUGAAUUGCAGAAGUGAAUCAUCGAAUCUUUGAACGCACCUUGCGCUCCCUGCAGAUCUAAUCUGGGGAGCAUGCCUGUUUGAGGGCCGCGAAUUGUUUCGAACGGCAGCUUUCUUCCUUUUUUUUGCGAGAGAGUUGGCGGAUCGGUAGUGAGGGCUGCCAGUUACCAUGGCUCCCUCGAAAUGCAU
rnacentral:rRNA from 1 species